rnacentral:miRNA from 1 species
GGGCUUUGAGGAGAGAGAGAGAGAGAGAGAGAGAGGUGGGUGUGAUAUGCAGAAAUGGAGAUGUGGGUUGGGAUUAUUUUAAUUGGUCACAAGGGAGAGUGAACAGUAGGGCUCUGCUGUCUGUGUCUCAGUGUCUCUGAGCAUUGGGAUUCUCCAUGCCAUCUCUUCUUACACACACACACACUCUCUCUCUUCUCUCUCUUCUCUCUCUUUCAUCUGU